AACGCUAGCUACAGGCUUAACACAUGCAAGUCGAGGGGCAGCAUGGUCUUAGCUUGCUAAGGCCGAUGGCGACCGGCGCACGGGUGAGUAACACGUAUCCAACCUGCCGUCUACUCUUGGACAGCCUUCUGAAAGGAAGAUUAAUACAAGAUGGCAUCAUGAGUCCGCAUGUUCACAUGAUUAAAGGUAUUCCGGUAGACGAUGGGGAUGCGUUCCAUUAGAUAGUAGGCGGGGUAACGGCCCACCUAGUCUUCGAUGGAUAGGGGUUCUGAGAGGAAGGUCCCCCACAUUGGAGCUGAGACACGGUCCAAACUCCUACGGGAGGCAGCAGUGAGGAAUAUUGGUCAAUGGGCGAGAGCCUGAACCAGCCAAGUAGCGUGAAGGAUGACUGCCCUAUGGGUUGUAAACUUCUUUUAUAAAGGAAUAAAGUCGGGUAUGGAUACCCGUUUGCAUGUACUUUAUGAAUAAGGAUCGGCUAACUCCGUGCCAGCAGCCGCGGUAAUACGGAGGAUCCGAGCGUUAUCCGGAUUUAUUGGGUUUAAAGGGAGCGUAGAUGGAUGUUUAAGUCAGUUGUGAAAGUUUGCGGCUCAACCGUAAAAUUGCAGUUGAUACUGGAUAUCUUGAGUGCAGUUGAGGCAGGCGGAAUUCGUGGUGUAGCGGUGAAAUGCUUAGAUAUCACGAAGAACUCCGAUUGCGAAGGCAGCCUGCUAAGCUGCAACUGACAUUGAGGCUCGAAAGUGUGGGUAUCAAACAGGAUUAGAUACCCUGGUAGUCCACACGGUAAACGAUGAAUACUCGCUGUUUGCGAUAUACUGCAAGCGGCCAAGCGAAAGCGUUAAGUAUUCCACCUGGGGAGUACGCCGGCAACGGUGAAACUCAAAGGAAUUGACGGGGGCCCGCACAAGCGGAGGAACAUGUGGUUUAAUUCGAUGAUACGCGAGGAACCUUACCCGGGCUUAAAUUGCAGAUGAAUUACGGUGAAAGCCGUAAGCCGCAAGGCAUCUGUGAAGGUGCUGCAUGGUUGUCGUCAGCUCGUGCCGUGAGGUGUCGGCUUAAGUGCCAUAACGAGCGCAACCCCUGUUGUCAGUUACUAACAGGUUCCGCUGAGGACUCUGACAAGACUGCCAUCGUAAGAUGUGAGGAAGGUGGGGAUGACGUCAAAUCAGCACGGCCCUUACGUCCGGGGCUACACACGUGUUACAAUGGGGGGUACAGAGGGCCGCUACCACGCGAGUGGAUGCCAAUCCCCAAAACCUCUCUCAGUUCGGACUGGAGUCUGCAACCCGACUCCACGAAGCUGGAUUCGCUAGUAAUCGCGCAUCAGCCACGGCGCGGUGAAUACGUUCCCGGGCCUUGUACACACCGCCCGUCAAGCCAUGGGAGCCGGGGGUACCUGAAGUGCGUAACCGCGAGGAGCGCCCUAGGGUAAAACUGGUGACUGGGGCUA
rnacentral:rRNA from 1 species